AUUGAACGCUGGCGGCAGGCCUAACACAUGCAAGUCGAGCGGAGCGGCGGACGGGUGAGGACUGCCUAGGAAUCUGCCUGGGAGUGGGGGAUAACGUCAGGAAACGGGCGCUAAUACCGCAUACUAUCAGAUGAGCCUAGGUCGUAUUAGCUAGUUGGUGGGGUAAAGGCCUACCAAGGCGACGAUCCGUAACUGGCUUGAGGGGAGGAUCAGUAAAACGGGAACUGAGACACGGUCCAGCUCCCUACGGGGGGAAGCAGGGGGGAAUAUUGGACAAUGGGGGAAAGCCUGAUGCAGCCAUGCCGCGUGUGUGAAGAAGGUUUUCGGAUUUUAAAGCACUUUAAGUUGGGAGGCGUUACCAACAUAAUAAGCACCGGCUAACUUCGUGCCAGCAGCCGCGGUAAUAC
rnacentral:rRNA from 1 species